CAAAAGUUCUUAAGGAUAUCAUAGCAUAGCUCAGCAGUUACGUAACUGUAACAAAAGACACCCAUAUUGCAGUACCAUAUGAACGGAACCUUCAAAAGCGUUGCAGCUUUACUCUAAUAGUCUAGACUGCACUUUAAACUUGAUAUAAUACAGACUCGCAUAAACACAUGCAAAACAAAAACUUAUUAAAAGCCACCACCGCACACUAUAUAUAGUUAAGUUUGCUAGUGAGGAUAGACGCACUGGAGCUAUUAAGGGAAUGUGAAACUUAGGCGUGCUGGGGUUUGUCCAAGUCCUCUAGAGGGCGGAAGAAGGCCUUCUGCUCCAAAAUGGAUUCAGCAGCAGCAGCAGUGGCAGGUGAGGAGUGGAAACCACGUUCCCCACCAGCACUGUCAGUGGUUGCAGGCCCAAACACCCCAGUUUGUGGGUGAGGACCCCAGUAUUUUUCUGAUUGUGGCUCUAUCACUUCAUCCGGCACCACCGAAUCCCGCACAUGAUCCUCCGGGUUCUUGUCGUACACCGAUGUCUGCACUCCCCUCCUGCACAAUACAAUAAACUAGUACUUACUUAACCCAACUUAAUUCAUGAAUGAACAGUACAAUACAUUAGGCAUUUUAAUUAUAUAACUUCUUGAGAUUUACAUAUGCCGUGACUCAACUAAUACAGGUACAUGCAGUAAAUGUUGCCACACAUGCCCAACAUAUUUCGUGCCCAAAUAUCGGGAUACUCACGUGAUUAUGACACCUUCCAAACCGGCCAAACUUUAAUUAAACGGCAAAGUUGAACAUCUUAUAUAGGCAUCUAGUAAUAACUAAUCAAAAGUCGAUUUGCAAAUAUGCGGAAGUGAAAAGAUCAUGUUUAACCUAACAAAGAAGUAAAAAACUAAUGUAGACUACACUGCUGGCAAAAGCGUUAGUGUAGUUACAGGAAGCUAAAGGAUGCUCUAAAGAAUCUGUACACAAAUGCUGUGUCUUUUUCUUUACUAAUUAUUCUCUUCUUUUUUGAACCCCUUUAAUAGAGUUAUUAGUACUCCUUCGGGACUUGAGCUCACGACCCUGUAGGUUGUGGUGGCAAAAUGAAUAAAUUAUCCAUUCAUAUUAUCCAUCUACAAUAUGAAAAAAUAGGUCAAAUAUGUAUAAGAACCAUAUUAUCCACUUAAAAAUUGAUAACUAAUGAGUUUAACUUUUUAAUUUGUAAAGUUUCAAAUUGGGGAUUCCUUAAGUCUAGGAAUUUUCUCAAAAAUGAUCAUAUACAAGAAGAUAUGGAUAGGAUGAUUAUCCAUACUAUCUGUCAGUUCACUCAUCUUUUAUCUGUAUUUAAUAUGAGUCGUGUCGAAUAAUUUAGCCGUUUUUGUAUUAUUAAUUUUCGACCUGUCUCAUAUCUCGAUCCGCCCGUUUGUCACCCCUAAUUGUAGGUGAGGGUGCUGACCAACCCCUCAUGUCACAACGCUGUGUGUUGGAAGUAACCGCAACAAGAGGUAUAUCAUCAUUAACUUCAAUCAAGCAUACAUUUGGAUUGUUGGUCCUUAAAUUUUUUAAAAUAGCAAACACGAAAAAUGAUUGAAAAUAUCACUGGACUAGAGUUCAACCGGAUCACUAACUCCUGUUUCUGGACCACAGUAAAAUUGUUGAUAACAUUGACAUAUCACGUGAUCCACCUACCAAGAACAAAUAGUUCAACCUAAUCAUCAGCAAUAUUGUUGCUUCAAAAAGGUAAAUAACAACAACCCCACAUGUCUUGUCAAGUUCUUCUAUCUCAUCCUUUUAUCUCCAGCCUUUAUUUUGAUGAGGGCCCCUAUUGUUUUAAAUACAGACCUACUCACCUACUCCUUUUCCUAAACUUUCUUCUUUUUCCUUCCAAGUUUGGGUAAGGUUCCGGUUAGACGGUUACAUCUUACAUCCAACUCUCUUUAUUUGUUGUAGUAAAAAAUAAUACUAGUACUAUCUUAAUGUAUGUGAUACCAUUUGCUUAUUGAGAUUCAAAAUUUUUAUUUGACGGUAAAUUUGAACAUAAAUUUUAAAUUUUUAAAACUAAAAUUUACAUAUAUAGUGAUUAUAUAAAAAUAUUAUAUGUUAUAAUAAUUAAUAUUUAAAAAAUUACAAUAAAAAAAUACAAUUAAUUCUCGAACACUUCACAGGGGACGGACGGAGUAUAAAUAUCUCACCGUCAAUUACAUUGGGAAAGUUCAAUGGUUCAGAUAUUGUUACAUAUGUGUGCAAGGCAUAGGGAAUAAUAUUUAAUAUAUUUUGUGAGCGGAAAUUCCUAUGAUGCACUUUAAAAGACAAUUGGGAGAUAUUAGUGGGUGAGACAUCCUUAUCCGAUAAGCCUUCCACUUCAGCACGCAGUAUUUUAAUGUUAAGAGUUAUUAUUUGUCCUAUUAAGCAACAAGAAAAGGAAAACGUGAGUAUCAAAGUAUAACUAAAAUAGAGCUUUGGUGAAAAUAUCCUAAUCUAUAAGCCGUAAUUUUGCAUCUCUCUGCAUUCAGGAAGCAGGAUAAGGCCUGUCUCACUUGUGAGAUUUGAGAGUCAAAUGGUUACUCAACUAAAUAUUUUAAAUUUUAAAUUAUUAAAUAUUUAUUUUACCCUUUAAAUUAUAAAUAUUUAUUUUUUUUAUUUUUUUACAAACUUUUUAAUAUUAUAAUUUUUUCCUUUUGAUUUAUAUUAUAGACUUACCUAUAAAAUAAAUAAAUAUUAUUUAUAAAUUAAAAAAAAGUAUUUAAGUAUCUAUAAAGCUGGAAUAAUAAAAUAAUGAGCAUACUAAAAGAAUUAAUUAGAGUAAUUUUUUGUAAAACUUUUUUAGUAUUAACAACAAAAAUUCAGAAAUUUAUUUACACAAUUUAGAAUGAAAGAAAAUAAAUGUUAUAAAAUAUAUAUUCCAUGCACAUAAUAUAAAAAUAAUUAUUUACGUAAAAAUAUUUUUAUAAUAUACAUUAUAUAUUCUUGAAAAUUAUGCUCAAUUAUAUUAUAUUUAUUGCAUGCACAACUUAACAUAGCAUAUUUUACCUUAUACAGAUAGCCCCCCUGCUUUUCGGUGAUAUAACUUUGUGUCUUCGAAAAGUUGGUAGAAACAUAAUAAUAUAAUUGAGCAUAAUUUUCAAGAAUAUAUAAUGUAUAUUAUACCUUUAUUUAAAUAAUUAUUUUUAUAUUACUUGCAUGUAAUAUAUAUUUUACAUCCUUUAUUUUCUUUCAUUCUGAAUUGUGUAAAGAAAUUUUGAAUUUUUAUUGCUAAUACUGAAAUUAUUAUUACUGACAAAAUAUUCUAAUUAAUUUUUUACUAUGCUCAUUAUUUUGUUAUUCCAGCAUUAUAUAUGCUUAAAUACUUUUAUUUUUUAAUUUAUAAAUAAUAUUUAUUUAUUCUAUAAGUCCCUAAUAUAAAUUAAAAAGGAAAAAUUAUAAUAUUAAAAAAAAAAUUUAGAAAAAGGAUAAAUAUUUUAAAUUUAGAGAGUAAAAUAGGUAUUUAACAAAGUGAAAUAGACAUAGUUGAAUUACUUUGUUGUUAUAAAUGAAAGUAAAAUAAUUUUAGGAGAUAAUUUGUGAUAAUAGAGCCACCAUUUAAAUAAUAUAUCUUUAGAUUUGAUGAGAUUUAAUUGGGUCUGUUAUUGUCGUAUCAAAUAGGAAAGAAAUCAGAAUAGAAAAUCGCAAGAUAGAUUAGUGAAUUUCCGAGAAAAUAUAUCCCAUGACAAAUCGGACAAAAAAAUAUCAGCUAGCUAGAAGACGACGUAAUGCGGUACCAGAAUCCAUGGUUGCUAGAUCUAACAAACAAACUAAAACUGGUAAACGUAAAUUUAGCUACCACAAGCUGUAAAUCUAGUUGAACUGAUCUCGUAUUCUGGAAAUUAAACCAUUAACCUUAUAUCCUUCAGAACUUAGCAGAACUGUAAAUCUAAUUGAACUGAUCUCGUAUUCUGGAAAUUAAACCAUUAACCUUAUAUCCUUCAGAACUUAGCAGAUAGCUAGCAUGAUUUUCACAGAAUUUAAACCAAAAAUUUUCGUCUAAACCAACAACAUGCUCUAGAAAGCAAACACUGAUCAAUAGGUAAAUAAGCAGCCGUAAAAGGACAAAACAACAUACAGACAGAAAUUUAGAAGUAAUACCUGCCAGAGAGUGAAGGUGAGUUAGCAGAAGUUCGACCACUAGCGUAGCUUAUCUGGUUCA
rnacentral:lncRNA from 1 species